GGGUGGGGUCAGGAGAGGCCUGUCUGAGGAGGGGGCAUCCGAGCAGGAAGUGACUGAAGUGGAGGAGUUGGCCAUGGAGGGGAGACACCCUCGUGGGAGAACGGUUCCGGCCAGAGGGAACAGCAAGGGUAAAGGCCCCAAGAUGGGUCCUUCCAAUCUCCUCAAUCCCCAACAAAGAGCAAGAACUAGGAGGUGUGCCUUGGUCUCCCCAUGGGGGCAUCUCACGCUGUGAUCUCCCUGGACCAUAAAGUCCCGCAGGAUAGGCGCUAGGCACGCUUUCCUCUCUGGCCCAGGGAGGCCCCGAGCGGGACGUACGUGCUGGGAGCCAGUGGUGACACCGGCGUUCGUGAAGCACGUGCUCUGUGUUGGGCGUAAGAACUCGGUGAAGAAGUCGAGGUUAUCUCUGCUGGGGACCUGCUAUGUUGUUAUCUGUCCAUAGUGGCUGCAUGACUCCAGGGAGACACCAGGCCCCAUGCAAACUCCAGACUAUGGCCAUCAGAGCUCUCCGCCCGCAGCUCUCAAGCUCAUUCCCGCAUUUCCAACCACGCCAGCCUCCUCAAUAUUCCUCGAACAGGCCAGGCAAGCUCCUGCCUCUGGGCCUUUGCACUUGCUGUGCCCACUGCCUGCUCUUCCCCCACAGGUCUGCAGGACCCCUCCCCCCUUUACACCUUUACUCUAAUGCCCCCUUGUCCCUGAGGCUGUUCUGGCCUCUCCUUCUGACAGUGCCCCUCCUCUCUGUGGGUCUCACCCCUUCCCUACUUUGUUUUU